ACGGUGAACUUGUGUACAAUGUUCCCUAACCAUUGUGCUUGUCUCUUGCAGUCGAGCAGAAGUCAGCCCAGGGCAAGGUUUGGCAUCGCGGCUGCCUGAAGUGUGCAAAAUGCAAUAAAGACUUGACUUCUUGCAUCUUCACUGAGGGUGUGGACAAGAAGGGAACGAGAGCUCCAAAUGAACCCAGGUUCCCGGUUUGUGCUGAAUCCGGGGCGGAGGAGGAAGAGGAGGAAAGUGCGUUUCGUAACAAUGACCCGGAUUCAAGUUUUUCCCAGCCAUGAUCAUAGUGAACCUUGAUAGAAAUUUGCCCCCUUCACCCCCCCCCCCCCCCCCCCCCCCCCCCAUAUCCCCGACCUUUCUGGACACCAGCA